rnacentral:rRNA from 1 species
UGGGGAAUAUUGGACAAUGGGCGGAAGCCUGAUCCAGCAACGCCGCGUGAGGGAUGACGGCCUUCGGGUUGUAAACCUCUUUCAGUACCGACGAAGCGAAAGUGACGGUAGGUACAGAAGAAGGACCGGCCAACUACGUGCCAGCAGCCGCGGUAAUACGUAGGGUCCGAGCGUUGUCCGGAAUUAUUGGGCGUAAAGGGCUCGUAGGCGGUUUGUCGCGUCGGGAGUGAAAACAGCGGGCUUAACUCGUUGCUUGCUUUCGAUACGGGCAGACUAGAGGUAUGCAGGGGAGAAUGGAAUUCCUGGUGUAGCGGUGAAAUGCGCAGAUAUCAGGAGGAACACCGGUGGCGAAGGCGGUUCUCUGGGCAUUACCUGACGCUGAGGAGCGAAAGCGUGGGGAGCAAACAGGCUUAGAUACCCUGUAGUCCACGCCGUAAAACGGUGGGGUACUAGGUGUGGGGGACAUUCCACGUUCUCCGUGCCGUAG